GUGCGCUGUGUUCGUGGUUGCAAGUCCAGGCCAGCUACGGGCAAAGGGAUCCACGUAAGCUGUGAGCAAGAGGCCGCAGUGAUCAUGGCGUAGUUUAGAAGUAAGUCCUCCGGAAAAUCCGGGUCAAGGCAAGUGUGGGGUCAAAGACCAGGUCGAGCGGCGCAC
rnacentral:ncRNA from 12 species